AUUAUUUUUAGCUGUCAACAACUACUUCAUAAACUAUUUAAGAUCUCAGUGACCUAUUUUGACAGUGAAGCACUGAAACCUGUUUCUUGUCUCAUUUUCUCUCACAGCAUAACUGUAACUUUCAAAGGAGGCAUGAUGUCUGAAGACCCUUCACCAGGCGGUGCCAGUGGACAACCUACAAAUUGUUUGACCCCAAGCCUCUUUUUCAUGUUAACUACAGCAGAACUGAAACAUACUAUGAAGCUUUCCUACUGGUUGAGGAUGAGAAGUGACAGAAGAAAAUCAACAAUGUUAUUUCUUCAUCAUUAUUUCAAGGUUAAGGGAUUUAUCCCAAAGUGACUCUUUUGAUGCUUGCAUUGUGGUGUUCCGGUCAGAGGUAUUAAUGUAAGGCUUCUACCUUGCAAAACAGAUAAAGGUCCUCUUCUGACAUGAUUCUAAUGGGAAAGCAUACAUCCAAUUAUUGUCUUCAGCAGAGAGCCCAGAAGCAUUGCAUGCAAAAAGAAUAUGAUUGCAAAUUUGCUCAACAAAGAAGGAAU
rnacentral:lncRNA from 1 species